rnacentral:rRNA from 1 species
GACAGAGGGGGCGAGCGUUGUCCGGAGUUACUGGGCGUAAAGGGUGCGCAGGCGGUUAUAUAAGACAGAUGUGAAAUCCCCGGGCUCAACCUGGGAACUGCGUUUGUGACUGUAUGACUAGAGUACGGUAGAGAGGGGUGGAAUUCCUGGUGUAGCAGUGAAAUGCGUAGAUAUCAGGAGGAACAUCGAUGGCGAAGGCAGCCCCUUGGACCUGUACUGACGCUCAUGCACGAAAGCGUGGGGAGCAAACAGG